rnacentral:rRNA from 1 species
UACGAAGGGUGCAAACGUUGAUCGGAAUUAUUGGGCGUAAAGCGCGCGUAGGCGGCUUAGCAAGUCGGAAGUGAAAUCCCACGGCUCAACCAUGGAAGUGCUUUCGAAACUGCUGAGCUUGAGUACGAAAGAGGAUCGCGGAAUUCCCGGUGUAGAGGUGAAAUUCGUAGAUAUCGGGAGGAACACCAGUGGCGAAGGCGGCGAUCUGGGUCGAUACUGACGCUGAGGUGCGAAAGCGUGGGGAGCAAACAGG